CCUACGGGUGGCAGCAGUGAGGAAUAUUGGUCAAUGGACGCUAGUCUGAACCAGCCAUGCCGCGUGCAGGAUGACGGCUCUAUGAGUUGUAAACUUCUUUUGUACGAGGAUAAACGCAGAUACGUGUAUCUGUCUGAAAGUAUCUUACGAAUAAGGAUCGGCUAACUCCGUGCCAGCAGCCGCGGUAAUACGGAGGAUUCAAGCGUUAUCCGGAUUUAUUGGGUUUAAAGGGUGCGUAGGCGGUCGGAUAAGUUAGAGGUGGAAUCGCGAGGCUCAACUUCGAAAUUGCAUCUGAUACUGUUAGGCUAGAGAGUAGUAGCGGUAGGCGGAAUGUAUGGUGUAGCGGUGAAAUGCUUAGAGAUCAUACAGAACACCGAUUGCGAAGGCAGCUUACCAAGCUACUUCUGACGUUGAGGCACGAAAGCGUGGGGAGCAAACAGGAUUAGAUACCCCAGUAGUC
rnacentral:rRNA from 1 species